UCCAGUGGUGGGGGCACGAACUUCAUCGUGCGCGCCGCCUUUGCGGGAAGGGGAUAGAUCGACGCGCCAAGAAAUCGUUUCAGUUGCCACGGCUUCAGUAGGCAAUAUGAUUGUUGCUUGACCACAG